GAUGAACGCUGGCGGCGUGCCUCAUACAUGCAAGUCGAGCGAAGCGGGGACGGGUGAGUAAAACGUGGAUAACCUCCUAUACGAAUGGGAUAACUUCGGGAAACCGGAGCUAAACCGGCUCCUUAUCGCUGGAUCCGCGCUGCAUUAUCUAGUUGGUAAGGUAACGGCUUACAACGGCAACCAUGCGUAGCCGACCUGCGAGUGGGAUCGGCCCCACUGGAACUGAGACACGUUCCAGACUCCUACGGUAGGCAGCAGUAGGGAAUCUUCCGCAAUGGGCGAAAGCCUGACGCAGCAACGCCGCGGGAGUGAUGAAGGUCUUCGGAUCGUAAAACUCUGUUAUUAGGGAAGCGGUACCUAAUCAGAAAGCCACGGCUAACUACGUGCCAGCAGCCGCGGUAAUUC
rnacentral:rRNA from 1 species